CCCCAAUGCCUUUCAGGAUUUGGAAGGAAGCGAGCAACCUUCUUGGCUUGUGCCUUGCUAAGAGAUGCAACAGCUCGAGCAAAAUUUGCUUGAAGAACAGGUUCUUUGGCAAGUAUCACACUUCCUGGUUGAUCAGGCAGUUGAGCUUUCACAGGAUGAAUUUUCACCCAGCAUCUCAUUAUAUCCCAAAUGACAUCCAUGGGAGCAUCUGAUUUUAGCCCCAGUGGAUUUACAUGUGUUCCAGAAAUGCGAUAUCCUGCAUUGAUCACAGCAGAACGGAAGAUUACUGCCUGUGGGGAAGUGCACUUUAGUGUUGCACAGAGGUUGUGCAGACUCAAAAAGAGAGGAACAUCAGGCAAUUCCUCAGAUAUUGUUGUCAAUACUGCAGAGAUGUGAUCAUAAGCAGGAUACUGGUCCUUCAUUGAUUUUACACCUUCUAGUAUGGAAGUUACCCAUUCUUGAUCAUGAAUAGAAGCAGACCAG
rnacentral:misc_RNA from 1 species